rnacentral:lncRNA from 10 species
CUGGAUGUUGUCUCUUCUUUGGUAGCUGUCAAAAGAGAUUCAUGAAAAAAUGACUUCCUUCACUGAAGGCUGGAAUCCCUGAAAGUCAUCCAUGAGGAUUGGAAUGAACCUCUUCCAAACGCCUGUUCAUGCUGACACUUUGACCUCCUCCCAUGAAUCAUGAAUGUUCUUAGUGGCAUCUAGAAUAGUGAAUCCUUUCCAGAAGGUUUACAAUUUACUUUUCCCAAAUCCAUCAGAGGAAUCACUAACUAUGGCAGAUACAGCCUUAAAAAAUGUAUUCCUUAAAUAAUAAGGCUUGAAAGUUGAAAUGAGUCCUUGGGCUGUGGAAUGGGUGUUGAGUUAGCAGGCAUGGAAACAAGAUUCAUCUCCUUGUUCAUUUCUAUCAGAGCUCUUGGGUGACCAGGUGCAUUGUCGGUGAGCAGUAAUAUUUUGAAAGGAAUCUUUUUUUCUGAGCGGUAGUUCUCAACAGUGGGCUUAACAUAGUCAGUAAACCGUGCUGUAAACAGACAUGCUGACAUCCAGGUUUUCUCGUUGCAUCUAUAGAGCAAGGCAGGGUAGACUGAGCAUGGUUUUUAGGGGCCCUGGGAUGUUCAGAAUGAUCCAUAAGCAUCGGCUUCCAAUGAAAGUCACCACUGCACCAGCUCCUAACAAGAGCGUCAGCCUGUCUUUGAAGCUUUGAAGCCAGGCACUGACUUGGCCUCUCUAGGUAGGAAAGUCCUAGAUGGUGUUCUUCCAAUAGAAGGCUGUUCUAUCUACAUUGAAAAUCUGUUGUUAAGCGCAACCACCUUCAUCAGUGAUCUUAGCCAGAUCUUCUGGACGCGGAAGGUAACUUGCUGCAGCUUCUCCAUCAGCACCUGCCGCGUCACCUUGCGUUUUUAUGUUAUGGAGACGGCUUCUUUCCUUAAACCUCAUGAACCCACCUCUGCCAGCUUCCACUCUUCCUCUGCAGGUUCCUCGCCUGUCUCAGCCUUCACAGAAUUGAAGAAAGUUAGGGCCCUGCUCUGGACUAGGGUUUGGCUUAAGGGAAUGGUGUUGCUGUUUUGACUGUCUAUCCAGAAAACAAAAGCUUUCUCUGUAUUAGCAACAAGGCGGGUUCACUUCCCAUCAUUCAUGCACUCUCUAGAACAGCACUUGUGAUCUCCCUUAAGAACUUUUCCUUUGUCUUCAUUACUUGUCUCACUGGUGCAGGCCUCGCUUAGCUUUCAGCCUAUCGCAGCUUUCAACCUGCCUUCCUUGCUAAGCUGAAUCAUUUCUGGGUUUUGAUUUAAAGUGAGGCGUCGUGGCUCUUCCUUUGAGCACUCUGAGGCCAUGGAAGGUUUAGUAACCGGGCCAAUUUCAAUAUUGUUGUGUGUCAGGGAACAGGAAUGAUUGGGAAGAGGGAGAGAGGUGGGGGAACGGCUGACUGCAGGGGCAGCUAGAACACACCAAACAUUUAUUAAGUUUGUGUCUUAUAUGGGUGCAGUUCAUAGCACCCAAAACAAUUACGUCGGUAACAUUGAAGAUCCCUGAUCACAGAUUGCCACUGCGUAUAUAAUACUAAUGAAGAAGUUUGAACUGUGGCAAGAAUCACCAAAAUGUGACCCAGAGCCACGAAGGUGGCACACGCUGCUGGGAAAACUGCGCCCGUGGAAUUGCUCCACGCCGGUUGCCACAAACCUUCAGUUUGUAAAAAAAGUAACAUCCAUGGAGCAAAAUCAAGCAAAACACCACAAGACAAAGUACACCUGUAUAGCUCUCUAUAGAUCUACAUUUUUAAAUACAUAGAUCUAUAUAAUUUAUAUAAUACUUACAUAAUAUCUCUAUAUAGUAUAUAUUAGGUAUGCAAUAUUGAUUAUACAGAGCUACAUGUAGAUCUAUAAAUUAUAUACAUAGCCAAUAUUUUAAAACAUAUAAGAAUGACUCUUUAUAAUGGCAGAAGACAUAAAUGUCCCCUCCUUUUCUAUCUAUGAAUCUGGAAUCUGACAGAGAAACCAACCCUCACAAGCUUUCGUCGUACGAUGGGCCUGGCUUCACUGAAUCCUAUCUAUGAACCUGGAAUCUGACAGAGAAACCAACCCUCACAAGCUUUUGUCGUACGAUGGGCCUGGCUUCACUGAAUCUGCAUCUUAUGUCACACUUAUUGCCAGCAGGACCUGCCUAGUGACAUUUAGCUGCCCUUCGAGUGGGCUGGCACCAGAUGGAAACUGGACAUAAGCUUUCGUGAGAGAUCGUGUGCAGUUCCUGAGCUUUGUGUUACCAGAUACUGUCUCUUCUCAGAUGAGGGUCAAAUUGAAAUUUCAUUACAGAAACCACCAGUCGCCACUGUUGAAGUUCAGAAGGGGUCCACCUAGUAAGGAAGGAGACCACUACUACUCCUGCUGCCCACCUUGCCUAGUUCACAAGACAGGAGGAAAGAGAGAAAGCAAAGAGUUGGAAAGAAACAAAAGUAAGAUAAAUAGCUAGAUGACCUUGGCACCACCACCCAGCCCUAGGAAUUAAAAAAUAAUAAUAACAUCAACCCCUGACCUAAACUACUUGUGUUAUCUGUAAAUUCCAGACGUUGUAUGAAAAAGCAUCGCGAAACUUUCUGUUCUGUUAGCUGAUGCAUGCAGCCCCCAGUCACGUUCCCCACGCUUGCUCGAUUUGUCACGACCCUUUCACGUGGACCCCUUAGAGUGUAAGCCUUUAGAAAGGCCAAUAAUUUCUUUUUCAGGGAGCUCGGCUCCUAAGACGCAAGUCUGCUGAUGCUCCCGACUGAAUAAACCACUUCCUUCUUUUUUUUUUUUUUUGAGACAGAGUCUUGAUCUGUCACCCAGGCUGGAGUGCAGUGGCAUGAUCUCGGCUUACUGCAAGCUCCAUCUCCCAGGUUCACAUCAUUCUCCUGCCUCAGCCUCCCAAGCAGCUGGGACUACAGGUGCCCACCACCACGCCCAGCUAUUUUGUAUUUUUAGUAGAAAGGGGGUUUCACCAUGUUAGCCAGGACGGUCUUGAUGCCCUGACCUCGUGAUCCACCCAUCUCAGCCUCCCAAAGUGCUGGGAUUACAGACAUGAGCCACUGCACCCAGCCAAACCUCUUCCUUCUUUAAGCUGGUGUCUGAGGAAUUUUGUCUGCGGCUCGUCCUGCUACACUGGGAUAGCCUUUCCUGGAUCCAUGAAAUGAGAAUUCAGUGAGUCAACUUUCAGGGUAACAGGAUUUUAAGACAUCUUCAUUUAUGUAAAAGAAAUCCCAUUCACAAACAUUCCAUUUUCAGUAACUGUGUUAAUUGUAAAUGACUCUUGUACAGUCACUAGAGCAGGCAUCGCAAAAACAUUGGUGCCUCGUUUUCUCAUUGAUAAAUAUGCAUGAAAGUCGUCUGUUUCAACGAUGCAGACAAAGAUACAAUGUUCCCUAAUCCAGAUUACAUCUUUUAGCCUGCUUGAUGGAUUAUCACUAAUUAGAUUUAUUCUUAGUUUUGUUACAUGCAAAUUUAUCUCAGUGAAAAAUAAACUCAACUAAAUACUGUUCUUUACUUGCUCUCUUGGAUAAUAAGAAUGUGGAGGGAAGGGUGAGGUUGCAGUGAUGUGGGGAUAAGGGGAAGGCGGAGGACAGACCUGGACCUGGCAGAGGAGGAAGAGGAGGAGGACGAGGUGAGAGAGGCCCCUCAUCUUCCCUGGUGUCGUGCACGCGACCUCAACUCUCGGCUCCUGUGGUCUGGGUGGUUCCUGGGUGCACAGAGAGCCUGGGACAGAGGUCCCAGGGACAGAAAGUCCUUGUUUCAGAGGAUCCAGGGUGACUGUGCAGUGAGUUUGCAGCAGCUCACCCAGCAUGUUGGGGGACGGCAGGGCUGGGUCCCUUUCUUGGGUUGCAGCUUUUCCAGGUCAUGACAUUGGCUCACUGAGCACAGCUCACACAGUGGAACGGCCAAGGCUCCAGGAACACGGCUGGGCACUGGGUCAUUCCGUGUUUGGGAAAAUAUCUUUCUUUUCACAAGGAAUGUGGCAUACAUGCACACACACACACAAACUGAUUAACACACAUAUAUGCAUAAACUAAUAAACACAUAUACACACGUGCACACACUCACAUAUUUACCAACAUACAAACAUGCAUACACUCACACACACACACACACCGACACACACAUAUGUAGAAAUUCAUAACAGACACACACCAACACAUGACCAUACAUCUACAAACUUAUAAACGCACACACACACACACAUCGACACUCAUACAUACAAAUUCAUAACACAGACACACACCAACGCAAUACCAUACAUCUACAAACUUAUAAACACACACACACACAUCGACACUCAUACAUACAAAUUCAUAACACAGACACACACCAAUGCAAUACCAUACAUCUACAAACUUAUAAACACACACACACACACAUCGACACUCAUACAUACAAAUUCAUAACACACACACCAACGCAAUACCAUACAUCUACAAACUUAUAAACGCACACACACACACAUACAUACAAAUUCAUAACACAGACAUACACCAACACAAUACCAUACAUCUACAAACUUAUAAAUGCGCACACACACACACACACUGACAUACAUACAAAUUCAUAACACAGACACACACCAACGCAAUACCAUACAUCUACAAACUUAUAGACACACACACACACACACAUCGACACUCAUACAUACAAAUUCAUAACACAGACACACACCAACGCAAUACCAUACAUCUACAAACUUAUAAACGCACACACACACACCCCAGCAAUACAUGUGUGUUAAUCUGUUUGUGCUACUAUAACGAAAUGCUUCUUGCUGGGUAACUGAUGAAGAACAGGUUGUUUUCUUGCACAGUUCUGGGGGCUGUGAAGUCCCACAUCGAGGCACCAGCCUUAAUCCACCCUCCGCCCUCAUGACCUAAGCUCCUCCCAAAGGCCCCACCCCCAACACUGUUGUACUGGAUAUUAAGGUUCCAACACAUGGAUUUUGGGGGACCCAUUCAGACCAUAGCAGCAUUCAUACACACAAACUCUUACCCUUGAAAAUUAAAACCCUCACACUGAACUGAGGUCCUGAAUCCUCCUCUCUGUUCCAGACUCCACUCAGCUCAGCCUCAGCCCCAGGACUCCUUGUUCCCAGGGAGUUCAGUUCCCCGCAGCAGCUCCAGCUGGGCCUCCUCGCCCGGAAUGGGCUGGGUCGCUCCAGGGCCUCAACGUGCUCGGCCAUCACCACGCUUUAAGGGGUCUCAGGAGGUAGCAGGAUGCAUCGUGCCAUUGGUCACGCAGGCUGCACGCUCCUCAGCCCCUAGAGCAGCGGUCCUAAACCACACUCUGUGCCAGCCGCAGGCCGGGUGAGCACAGAACAGAGGCAGCUCUCGGGACGAGAAGGAAGCUUUCUGGAAAUGCCUCCCUGGCUGAGCCUGGUCAAGCGGCUGCGAGCCCACACCAGGCAGCUUCCAGGGCCCAGGAACUGAUGCCACAUUGGGGACCCCUCCUGUCAGGAGGCUGAUGCGGCCCCACACGCUGGCUGGCCACGUGCGGGAGGGUCUCCGGGGGCUGCUGCCUCAUGUCUCUGCCUCUGCUUUUCUGGAGGACAGCCCCUAGACAGGCUCCUGAGAUGUGGCCGCUGCUGCUGCUCCCCUCACUCACUGGAAGCGCAUGGUCUGGAGCUCACCCCAGAAUCCUUGGGUGGUUUUCACCCACAGCCUGUAGAAAAGCCACAUGGAUUCAAGGCCAUGCCUCUGCACCAUGUCCUCUGUCCCUGAAGGCAGAGGGGACUUGGAGCUGGCCCCAGCAUGGCCAUCCCAGCUGUGCCCAGGAGCCACCUUCUCACACCCAGUUGAGGGCCUGGUAAAGCAGCACCCCCAGCAACAGCUAUACAAAGAGCCCCUCUGGCCAGCCCUGCCCCCCACCUUUCCUUGUGGAGGGUCCUCAGGUCCAAGGUCCUCAGGGUUUUGCUAAGGCCCGUCGGGGGCCCUGCUCUGCAGAAGCAGUCUCCUCCUGUGGACAAGGCUACCGGCACUCACAAUGCCAAAAAGCAGCAGAGCCUGCAGGCCACAGAAGCCACGAGCCAGGGCAGCUGCAGGCACUCACCUGGUGACUGGCACCCUGGCCCACCGGCAUCCGAGAUUCUCCUCCGCACCUCCCCCUGUCCUCCUCACCUCCCCUAUGUCCUCCUCACCUUCCCCCACAACCCCAUCCUCUGGGCUGUGACUUCCCACCCUCUGGGUCCUGGCACAGUGUCUGGCCUCCCAGAGAGGGGUGAGGUUGAGAGAGGCUGACAGGCGUCUCCGACAUGAGUCAGCCCAUUCAGUUCCUUUUCCAGGGGCCACACUGAGUCAGCCCAUUCGGUUCCUUUUCCAGGGGCCACACUGAGUCAGCCCAUUCGGUUCCUUUCCCAGGAGCCACACUCGAAGUCACAAGAGCCUUGACAUGUUGCGGUGACCGCCUGCUGCCGGGGCUGACUGGCUUGUGACCCCGGCACCUGGAGGCCUGUCUCAGAUCCAAC